GGGUGAGUAACACGUGGGCAACCUGCCCAAAAGGAGGGGGGAUAACACUUGGAAACAGGUGCUAAUACCGCAUAACCAUAGUUACCGCAUGGUAACUAUGUAAAAGGUGGCUAUGCUACCGCUUUUGGAUGGGCCCGCGGCGCAUUAGCUAGUUGGUGGGGUAAAGGCUUACCAAGGCAAUGAUGCGUAGCCGAACUGAGAGGUUGAUCGGCCACAUUGGGACUGAGACACGGCCCAAACUCCUACGGGAGGCAGCAGUAGGGAAUCUUCCACAAUGGGCGAAAGCCUGAUGGAGCAACGCCGCGUGGGUGAAGAAGGUCUUCGGAUCGUAAAACCCUGUUGUUAGAGAAGAAAGUGCGUGAGAGUAACUGUUCACGUUUCGACGGUAUCUAACCAGAAAGCCACGGCUAACUACGUGCCAGCAGCCGCGGUAAUACGUAGGUGGCAAGCGUUAUCCGGAUUUAUUGGGCGUAAAGGGAACGCAGGCGGUCUUUUAAGUCUGAUGUGAAAGCCUUCGGCUUAACCGGAGUAGUGCAUUGGAAACUGGGAGACUUGAGUGCAGAAGAGGAGAGUGGAACUCCAUGUGUAGCGGUGAAAUGCGUAGAUAUAUGGAAGAACACCAGUGGCGAAAGCGGCUCUCUGGUCUGUAACUGACGCUGAGGUUCGAAAGCGUGGGUAGCAAACAGGAUUAGAUACCCUGGUAGUCCACGCCGUAAACGAUGAAUGCUAGUGUUGGGAGGUUUCCGCCCCUUCAGUGCUGCAGCUAACGCAAUAAGCAUUCCGCCUGGGGGAGUACGACCGCAAGGGUAAAAACUCAAAGGAAUUGACGGGGGCCCGCACAAGCAGCGGAGCAUGUGGCUUAAUUCGAAGCAACGCGAAGAACCUUACCAGGGCUUGACAUGACGGUGAAGCGGCGGAGACGCCGUGGCCGAAAGGAGCCGCCACAGGUGGUGCAUGGCUGUCGUCAGCUCGUGUCGUGAGAUGUUGGGUUAAGUUCCGCAACGAGCGCAACCCCCGUCCCGCGUUGCCAGCAUUAGGUUGGGGACUCGCGGGAGACUGCCGGCGUCAAGCCGGAGGAGGGUGGGGACGACGUCAAGUCAUCAUGCCCCUUAUGCCCUGGGCUGCACACGUGCUACAAUGGCCGGUACAGAGGGUUGCCACCCCGCGAGGGGGAGCGGAUCCCGGAAAGCCGGCCCCAGUUCGGAUCGCAGGCUGCAACCCGCCUGCGUGAAGCCGGAGUUGCUAGUAAUCGCGGAUCAGCACGCCGCGGUGAAUACGUUCCCGGGCCUUGCACACACCGCCCGUCA
rnacentral:rRNA from 1 species